rnacentral:rRNA from 1 species
CCUACGGGAGGCAGCAGUGGGGAAUAUUGCACAAUGGGGGAAACCCUGAUGCAGCGACGCCGCGUGGGUGAAGAAGCGCCUCGGCGCGUAAAGCCCUGUCAGCAGGGAAGAAAAUGACGGUACCUGAAGAAGAAGCCCCGGCUAACUACGUGCCAGCAGCCGCGGUAAUACGUAGGGGGCAAGCGUUAUCCGGAUUUACUGGGUGUAAAGGGGGCGCAGACGGCGGUGCAAGCCAGGAGUGAAAGCCCGGGGCCCAACCCCGGGACUGCUCUUGGAACUGCGUGGCUAGAGUGCAGGAGGGGCAGGCGGAAGUCCUGGUGUAGCGGUGAAAUGCGUAGAUAUCAGGAGGAACACCGGUGGCGAAGGCGGCCUGCUGGACUGCAACUGACGUUGAGGCCCGAAAGCGUGGGGAGCAAACAGGAUUAGAUACCCUUGUAGUC